CGGCCUUUGGCCGCGACCAGCCAUGGCUGGUCGGCCAUGCAUCCAAGGGCUGGGCGUUUCACGGUUCGAUGUCGGCAGCGGAGGUGCGGUUGGCCGGCGAAGGAUAGAAAUGACAACAGCUAGCGCAGAAACAAAAUAAAGAAAAAUGGCUCACCGGAGAACGGGAAGGGCUCGUCGGAAGAAACAACUUCGUGCGUGGCAGGGACCCCUCGACACAGCGACGAGUGCGGCGAGACCUCCAGCUAGGACAUCGGUCCUUUCUCCACGGUGACAAAUGAUGCGACGACGAGCUCUGCAUGGGACCUCUGCUCGACGGCGGGCGCGGCGCCGGGGCGACUGCGUGAUGCAAGGGGUGGUUGCUGCAAGGUUGAGGGACAGAGAGCAGGUGCCGACUGUUUGAAUGGGACUAUGGGAGCGGCUAUAACGGACCAUUGCUAAAUUCUUGCGUCGUGGCCAUAUAGUGCGGUAGAGGUUGUUCACACACGGAAGAGAUGGUGGUGGGCCUGCGGCGCAGCAGCCGAGUGCGGCGCUGGUGCUUCCCCCACGCGUGCUAGCAGGUAGAUAUGAAUAUACAUAUAUGUUUAUAUGAAUAUAUCUAUUUAUAUUAGAUCAUGUCCCGAUAAUUUAAUUUGAUAGUUUUUCCUUCUUUCGAGUGUGAACACCGCCAAGAUCAUUUUAGCAAACAGAAAGAAAAUGUACCUCGGCUUAAAAUAUAAUACACAUAUUUAUUUAAAAUAGCAUCUAUAAAUUCCAUGUUAACUCCCCAUUUAAUAACAAACAAAAGAGGAAAAGAAAGGAAAAGAAAAUGUAACACCUGAAUUUUGAGAGUAGAUAAAAGAAAAUUUUAUACCCUCAAAAUCAGGGUGUUACAAAUCUAACCCCCUUAACAGAAUCUCGCCCUCGAGAUUCAAGAAGAAGCUAGAAAGAAAAACAAGGUUGGUUCACUUCGAUUCAAUUUUAACACUACCAGCUUAACUUGCUGACAUGAUACUUUGACCUUCAGAUAUUCACGAUCAACUGAUGCAACUCUUGAGGAUCUCUUGGACCUAUGGGUUAGGACCCACACACGCUUUCGGUGCGCCACUUUAAUCGUGUUGGUUGAUGCUGUUCGCAUUGUCUUCAUUGGGGUUAGCGGCUAACCCCCUUAACAGGAGCGUUGAUAUGCACUUGGUGAAGAUGUUAUCGAUUUUGAUCUUGACCGAUUAAGAGAGGUUGGUUGGAGGUUGCCAACCGGACAGGUGCAAGAGGGAAGGGUAUAGAUAGGAAAGGUACACAUAGAUGAAUUAAAAAGAGAAAAGGGAGAGCACCCAGAUACCUAACUCUAUGGCACUCAGCUAGUAAACUGAUGUCAUUGCGGACCAAGGACCACAACACAUCAACACUCAUCACAGAGAAGCAAAUCAGUCAUCACACAAAGACAAACAGCACAAGCAUACAACAACAAACAUCUCGUUGCUACACGUUAAUGUUAACUAGAUGGUGGUCUUUCUUGAAAAGGGAAUACCUACUCUCUAAGGCCGUCGAAGGACGAGGAGAGAAACAAGACGUGCAUGAUAGGGGCACGAGCACAACAAAGGAUGGAGUUAAGUGGCCAAGAAAAUGAUACGACCAAGGGCAUAAUGGGUAGAACACCACUCUCGAGUCAAGAUAUAAAAGAGUGGAUUUCAAAAGGCAGACCUAAGAUAAGCAUCAAGGCAAGAUCUAGUGAUUACAAAGGUAAGGGGACUAUCAAACAAAAGCUACGACUGGCAAUGUGGCAGAGGAAAAGGGAACGACCAAGAGUGGGAUGGGUAAGACAACACUCUUGAACUAAAACGAGGGAGGAGGCUUUAAAAUACAGGUACGAGAUAAGCAUCAAGGUAAAGAUCAAGGGAUGACAAGGGUGAGGGUGAUAACGGGCAAAUAAACAAAAAAGGAUGUAUUUUAGACAAAACGUGCAAGGCGUCAAAGGAGGGGAAGCAAUUAAUGGUGAAGUAGAUGAGGCAUUAUCCUUGAGCAGAGAUCGAAAGGAGGAGGUUUUGAAGGGUAGGUUCAAAGUAAGCAUGAAUGUAAGGGUAUAGAUAUUACAAGGGUUAAAGGUGAUAACAGACAAUAAUGUAAGAGAGGAGGUAAAUGGACAUAAGAACAAAAGAUAUAAGUAACAUAAAGGAUGGAGUUAAGACAAUACCUACAAGUGGAAAAGAAGAGGAUACGUCCAAGGGCCAAAUAGGUAAAUUGCCACUCUCAAAUUGAGGUGGAAGAGAGGAGAUUUUUAAUAGUCAGAAUAAAGAUGAGUAUCGACGCAAGAUCGAUGGAUGAAAAGGUGAUGGUGAUAGCAAAUAAAAAACACAGCAAAGGAUGGAAUUAAGACAAAACUUGUAAGGCGACAAGGAGUGAAAAGAAAUCAUGGGAGAGAUAAGUAACUCAUAGCUCUCAAACUAGGUUGAAAGAAAGGGGAGGCUUUUAAAGGAUAAGUUCAAGGUAAGCAUUUAGGUAGAAUACCUCAAUAUCGCAAGGGUCAAAGGCGAUAACAGACAAGGGUAUGAGAGAAAAGAUGAAGGCAUGGGAGAGCCAGUGGUAUGAGUACAACAAAUAAUAGAGUUGCGUCCGAGCUUAUACGCGGUAAAGAAGAGGAUAUAGCCAAGGGUGAGGUAAGGAAAGUACCGCUCUCAAAUUGGGAUAGGAGAUUGGAGAUUUUAGAGAAUGAACAAAGUGUAAUCACCAAGGUAAGAUCUAGAGAUGAGAAAGGUAAAGAUAAUACCCAACCGAAGCACAACAAAGGAUGGAGUUAAAAACCCGCAAGCGACAAGGAAGAGGAUACAACCAAUGGAAAAUGGGUAAAAUACAACUAUAAAAUUGAGAUGGAAGAGAGAACAUUUUAAAGGACAGGUAUAACAUAAGCAUCAAGUAAGAUAUAGAGGUGACAAGGGUAAAGGUGAUAAUGAUGAAAAGCAUAAUCCGUGGACAGAGUUAAGGCAAGAUUCACAAAAUGACUAAGUGGAGAAAACAAUCAAGGAUAAGAUAAGUGAGGUUCCAACAUAAGAGUUGAAGUAAAAAUUCAUUGCCGAAGGAAGUUACAAGGAAACAACGAGAUUAUCACGGUUGUGCAAAAUAAAAUGAUCGCUCAUGGAUCAUUAAGAAAUAGGGGUGGUCAAGGACAUGUUAACUGAAAUGUCUAAGUAGGCAGUAGAAAUUUAGAGGCAAGUAUUUGAAACAAGAGUAUUAAAGGGAUACAAGCAUGUCAAUACCAAAGAACUAGAGUUCGCCAGAUGGUAACAACUUAAUGACGAAAGAGGAAAGAAUCCCAAAAAGACAAGAAGGUUAUGGUCAGGGGGCAUCUACAAAGAUGUUGCAAGCACAAGAGUGAGAUCAGAUCUAAUAGAUUGAGAGAAGUAUAGACCAUACUAGAAUAAAAUACUUUUGGCAAGGGGCAUAUAGGAACACAACAUAGCAUUAGUCGAGGCGACUAAUAUUUUGAAGCGGAAUCAAGGAUGAGGUGAAGUAAUAAUCAAUGAGUCCUUAAAACGGCCAUUGCUACUCUAGGUCAGCGGUCCUACAGUCAGCAAGGCUUUGAUACCACUUAUGUCACACCCGGUUUUGAAGGUAAACCGAAUGCGAACCAUGUACGUGCCAGGAUCAGAAAUUCACGUACAUAGUGAUUACAUAAAUGACUCAUCAUAGCACAAUGCUUCGAAUAACAAUAAAGAGUAAGUAAUAAUAUUACAGACCAGAGCCAUUUACAUAAUAUAAAUCAAAGUACACAUAGUAGAAACGUAGCCAACGUAAACAACCCACCACAGGCAGCUGACUGGGGGAGGUCGCUAGCCUAAUCCUCGAACUCGUCGAAGUCCUGGAACUCCUGGAGAUCUGCCUCGACACCUCCUUCUUUACCUGAGCAUAGAUUGCACCAAAGGCAACCUGGUGUUUUGUGAAAGCAAGGGUGAGUACACAUCAACGUACUCAGCAAAUGUUCCGUUUGGUUGUAGUGGACUAGCUUUAUGUGGGGUUAGGCUCAAGCAGUUGCUUUUAGUUGGUCAGGUAUUUAUUGUUAGUAGAAGCCAGAUUUUAUCAUAAAACCCAAGUUAUAAUCCCAAAAGUACCUCCUGAGAGAGGGAAUACUAGAAUUCAUAAUUAAAGUCACCAUCAUUAACCAUCAUCAUUAAAGUCAUCAUCCAAGGUGUAUCCGGAGUAUCUCUAAUCAAAGAGGAUCCCAAGGCUGCUCUUAACCGUGAGCACGGCUGAUAUAUCAGUUUCACUACCCUCUGCAGAGGUCGCACACUUUACCCAUGAGUCAUGAUUCCCUUUCUGCCCGAGGAGAGCUAAUCCCCGUUGAUCACUCCCUAGGUGGUCUGGCAGGGUAUCACUACGUAGCUGUUACAAAGAUUCCCUAGAGGUCAUAGCCGCCCGUUAGGUUUCUCCAGUUUGAUAAACACAGUACCCCUCCCCGCAGGAGAGUGACUAACCAAAAAGCAAAACAAAAGAACCUCGGCACUCAGCCUCGGCAGAGCAAGCACUGUGCCUGGACCCCAUUGACGGCACGACGGCGAAGCAACUACACCUCUAGUUCCUCUAAUUAAUUAGCUAAGGGCAUCCCAUUUCACCCUCAUGGUUGCACUGUUAUCCCGGGUGGUCUCUCAACGAACAGGUCCUUACGGAGAGGUGCUCGGGAAACGGCCCGAGUCCCCUAAAAUGCCACAAGUAUAUCACCAUCGUAUCCAAAAUAAAAGCAUCGUAUCAUCAAGUAAUUCUCAUCAUGUUCGUUGAUUAGAGUAAAGCGCUAGCAUGUAGUUAACCAUAGUAAUCCGAAAGGUAAAGAAGGAUAAGGUAAAUAGAAAGCUAGUAAAUCCUUAGGUUAUUCAUAGUAUGCGGUACAGUGUAUUAUAAAGUACAUGGGACAUAAUGGGACUGAGGACACUUGCCUUCACCAAACAGAUGCUCAGAAUCUUCAGCCUUGUAGAACUCGAAGAGCUGGGUCAUUUGGUCGCCGAAGCUUGACCGUCGAUUCCUCAAAGCUCAGAAACGAAUCGCGAUCUAAUCGCAACACGAAGCGAAGACGAACAGGCACAAGCAAACAAACAUAUACAUAUGCAUAAGAAUAUUACACCAUACAAGAUAAAAUGUUAUAAAAGCGAGCAAUAUAAAAUAGAGAGCGCUUCUACGGUUACGCGAGAAUAUGAAACACGUCGGUCGGAGCUACGGUCGAUAAGUUAUCGCGUUUAUGCUAAACGAAUAUGAACUAGGACAUUUAAUUCGGCACUAUCAAAUAUAAAUUAUAUCUACUAUUUAGUUUUGACUAACUUACUAUUUUAAUAGUGGAGGAUUAAACGAAUAUUUAAUUAAAUGACAUGAGUGAUUAUAAGCGACCGAUUUAAUAUCGCGCGUGGACAGCACCCGAUAUGCAAAAAAGGCAAUGCGUGCGAAUGACGCGUGAAGACGCGUGACAAUACGCGAAAUAGGGCGCGACCAACACGCGAAACCACGCGUGCGACAACGCGUGCGAACGACGGCGCACGCGGACAGCACGCGAACGGCACGCCAGGAACACUAACCAAUAUCGCCAUUAUAAUAAACAAUUAUUAAUUAAAAAACAUUCGAGUAGACAUAAUCAUAUUAACAUGUAUUUAUAAAGUGCAACUAAAAUUGUAAAUUGGUUCAAGUAGAUUGCUACUUUACUAACUAUCUGAAAAAUAAAUAAUCAAUUAAUUAACUAAAACAUGUAUCACAAUGAAAUAGUGUUACUAAUACGUAAACAACGAGGUUACGAAACAAGUCGAAACAGAUUUGAGACUUAAAAAUAUUUUGAAUAUUUUAUAUCUCACAGAUUUAAUAGAAUGUGGCGUAAUCUAAUUGGUCAAAAUAUGGCCACACGGAGGACCAUAUGAGCAUGGGUGCCGAGGAUCCGUGGGAUUUGGAGCGGACGCUACAACGUGAAACAUCUAUAUUGACCAACCGUAGGGCGCCAUGUGGCCUGGAGACUAGUUUUUUCCACCACCCACGUGAUGCAUGCCGACAUGCAUGGGAGUCAUGCGUGCAUGGGUGGGCGAGCACUCGGCCACCGCUCAAUCGGCCUUUGGCCGCGACCAGCCAUGGCUGGUCGGCCAUGCAUCCAAGGGCUGGGCGUUUCACGGUUCGAUGUCGGCAGCGGAGGUGCGGUUGGCCGGCGAAGGAUAGAAAUGAUAACAGCUAGCGCAGAAACAAAAUAAAGAAAAAUGGCUCACCGGAGAACGGGAAGGGCUCGCCGGAAGAAACAACUUCGUGCGUGGCAGGGACCCCUCGACACAGCGACGAGUGCGGCGAGACCUCCAGCUAGGACAUCGGUCCUUUCUCCACGGUGACAAAUGAUGCGACGACGAGCUCUGCAUGGGACCUCUGCUCGACGGCGGGCGCGGCGCCGGGGCGACUGCGUGAUGCAAGGGGUGGUUGCUGCAAGGUUGAGGGACAGAGAGCAGGUGCCGACUGUUUGAAUGGGACUAUGGGAGCGGCUAUAACGGACCAUUGCUAAAUUCUUGCGUCGUGGCCAUAUAGUGCGGUAGAGGUUGUUCACACACGGAAGAGAUGGUGGUGGGCCUGCGGCGCAGCAGCCGAGUGCGGCGCUGGUGCUUCCCCCACGCGUGCUAGCAGGUAGAUAUGAAUAUACAUAUAUGUUUAUAUGAAUAUAUCUAUUUAUAUUAGAUCAUGUCCCGAUAAUUUAAUUUGAUAGUUUUUCCUUCUUUCGAGUGUGAACACCGCCAAGAUCAUUUUAGCAAAC
rnacentral:lncRNA from 1 species